AGUGAACGCUGGCGGUAGGCCUAACACAUGCAAGUCGAACGGCAGCACAGGAGAGCUUGCUCUCUGGGUGGCGAGUGGCGGACGGGUGAGGAAUACAUCGGAAUCUACUCUGUCGUGGGGGAUAACGUAGGGAAACUUACGCUAAUACCGCAUACGACCUACGGGUGAAAGCAGGGGACCUUCGGGCCUUGCGCGAUUGAAUGAGCCGAUGUCGGAUUAGCUAGGUGGCGGGGUAAUGGCCCACCAAGGCGACGAUCCGUAGCUGGUCUGAGAGGAUGAUCAGCCACACUGGAACUGAGACACGGUCCAGACUCCUACGGGAGGCAGCAGUGGGGAAUAUUGGACAAUGGGCGCAAGCCUGAUCCAGCCAUACCGCGUGGGUGAAGAAGGCCUUCGGGUUGUAAAGCCCUUUUGUUGGGAAAGAAAUCCAGCUGGCUAAUACCCGGUUGGGAUGACGGUACCCAAAGAAUAAGCACCGGCUAACUUCGUGCCAGCCGCCGCGGUAA
rnacentral:rRNA from 1 species